AUGCCACAGCAAAAACCUCAGACUGAGAAAUUACAUGAAAAUUGUUAAGAGAUCAUUUUUAUUUGACAAUAAAAGAAAAAAAAAUUGAACAGUAUAGUGAAGUGACAUAAAGAGCGCCAACAGGGGUCGGCUCAGUUGAUACAUUUGGAAAUAAUCCUAGGCAGAGGUCGCUACUUCAAAACCCAUUCUUUACUCACAAACCAGAAGAGCAAGCAAGUAUUUAGAUUAAAAACCAAAAAUCUGGCAUGCUUCUUUCAUGAUAGUGGCGUUGCCACCAAAAAUGAAGCAUAAGAAAGCAUGAAAUGGGCACAAAAUGAAAAGUAACAAGAUCACAAGCAAACACAAAAGAUAGAUGGGAGCAAUUAAAGUUCACUUUAUUCAUAUAUGCUGCAUUAGAUAAAUGUCUCACGGAGCAUAUAAACAUGAAGGAAAAGGAAAUGUCUCAUGAAGCAAUACAAACACAAGUCCAAUUGGACUCAGAAGUCUUCUUCAAUUAAAACAAUUCUUUAUUUUUUUUUCUUUUUAUAUCAUGCAACAAGGUUUUUAUUUAUUAAGGUUUUCUUUAAUUUUAUGAGUCAAGGCAUUUUGCUAAUUUCCAAUAAUAGGAUGGAGACCCAAAAGGUUAGUUUAACAAAAAUUUCAAGCUUUCUAGCUCUCUUCAGGAUUACUUUAAGCUAAUGGAAUGCAGUCUAUGUUGUCUAAAAACACUUCCAGAAAUUAACUUUAAAAUUUUCUAUUUCUAAAAAAUUCAAACCAAAUCAUCAACUGAUUGAAACCAUAAAGUAUUAUUUCACAAAAAUCAACCAUAUCACCAUCAAUUAGUGUGAAAAAUUAAAAGGGCCAAAAGUUUUCUGUUUGAAUACUGGUUAGAGUGCUAUUUAACAACAAAAAGGAAUAUCAUGUUGCAAUUCUAAUAUCUCAAGUUAUCUGCUUUUCUUUGCUUCCAAGUAUACCUCCUUAGUUAACUUACCCAUAUGUUAUCCAUCAAUACUCAAACUAGCAGCAGUCUUUGGAGCCUCAAAUGAUUUAAUGAUAUUGCUUGUUUUCUUACUGCUUUCCUCAAUCAGUAAU
rnacentral:misc_RNA from 1 species